rnacentral:tRNA from 1 species
AAGGGAGACCUAAUUCGGGUAUGGGACGAAAAAAAGUAGUCGCUACCAAGAAUCAAUCCCAAAAGGUCGGAGCGAGGCGAAAUUGGCUUUCAAACUAGGUUCUGGGUUCAAACAAGACCUGAAUCAGGAACAAGGGCUAUUAGCUCAGGUGGUUAGAGCGCACCCCUGAUAAGGGUGAGGUCCCUGGUUCGAGUCCAGGAUGGCCCACCUGCACAGGUGGCAAAAACAAGAGAAGCUCCGAAUCAGCACCUUAUCUUACUUAUAUAGUAAGAGAGAAUGCUGGCUCUGAGUAAAGAGUCCAGAGGAACCUUGAAAACUGCAUAGAGCUAGGUGAAAAAGCCAAAAAAGAAGACCGCAAGGUCAAGCUAAUAAGGGCUAACGGUGGAUACCUAGGCAC